AGCUUUCUGAAUCCAUGUAGAGAUUUCGUCAGACAGCAAUCCACUAGGGCUGAUCAGACUUCUAAGAUAAGUGAAGUU
rfam:Schistosoma margrebowiei strain Zambia genome assembly, scaffold: SMRZ_scaffold0002616